GGUCCGCUCUCGCUAACAAUUACUAUUACGAUAACAAUAUUGUUAUAAAAUAAUACAACGGUAACGUAAUGCGUUGUACGUUUUAAUAUCAUUGACUAUUAUUAUGCGUUUGUCGCGCGCGCUUGUGUGUGAACAUACCGAAAUAGAAAGUUUAAGAUAAAAGCGUUUUUAGGCAUUUAAAUCGCGGUGAAACGCGCACACUGGGGACGUUCGAUCGAUUUAUUUUCUUUUUCUAAUCUCACGGACGUUCUACUGGAAAACACAGUGAGAUUGAGAAUGCAAACGAAAAAAGAAAAAAAGAAGACCGUUUGAUAAAUUAUAAACGAAAAAUCGAUCGGCCGGUUAAUCGUGAAUCGUAUUUUUUUUCGAUUUCCGGAUCGGUACAAUGCCGGCGCAAGUCGGUACAUUGGCUACGGACGAACAGCG